rnacentral:rRNA from 1 species
CCUACGGGAGGCAGUAGUGGGGGAUAUUGCACAAUGGGGGAAACCCUGAUGCAGCGACGCCGCGUGGGUGAAGAAGCGCCUCGGCGCGUAAAGCCCUGUCAGCAGGGAAGAAAAUGACGGUACCUGAAGAAGAAGCCCCGGCUAACUACGUGCCAGCAGCCGCGGUAAUACGUAGGGGGCAAGCGUUAUCCGGAUUUACUGGGUGUAAAGGGGGCGCAGACGGCGAGGCAAGCCAGGAGUGAAAGCCCGGGGCCCAACCCCGGGACUGCUCUUGGAACUGCGUGGCUAGAGUGCAGGAGGGGCAGGCGGAAUUCCUGGUGUAGCGGUGAAAUGCGUAGAUAUCAGGAGGAACACCGAUGGCGAAGGCGGCCUGCUGGACUGCAACUGACGUUGAGGCCCGAAAGCGUGGGGAGCAAACAGGAUUAGAUACCCGAGUAGUC